rnacentral:lncRNA from 10 species
UAGGUGUCAAGUAGUUUUCUAAAGUGUUAAGUUUAUGAGAUUUGUUUUACUUCAUCUUCUCACUAAAACUUGAAAUUAUCUGUUUUUUCUUUCCUAUUUUUGUUUCACUCAUAAAGCUCUUUGAUCUAUUGUAUAGCUUUGGGACAUAAGUUGCUUUUCUUAGGUAACAUCAAACAUGUUUUAAAGUUAUUCAUUGUCUAUUUAGUUAGCUUACUUUUAGAGUGACUGUCUACACCUGUGUUUAUUUUCCUUUUUGGUUGUCUAAUUGUUUAGAUUUUUUAAAAUUAUUAUUAUACUUUAAGUUCUAGGGUACAUGUGCACAACGUGCAGGUUUGUUAAAUAUGCAUAUACAUGUGCCAUGUUGGUGUGCUGCACCCAUUAACUCGUCAUUUGCAUUAGGGACAUGGAUGAAGCUGGAAACUAUCAUUCUAAUUUUUUUGAUUCUUAAAUUAUUUUUAAUCUUCUGAGUAUAACAUUAUUGACUUUUUGUAUCCUGUGUAAUAAAUAUUUGCUUACACCAAUAUCAUAAAAUAUUUUUCUUUUUUUCUUUUUUUUUCUAAAUGCUCACUUGUUUAACCUUUCAGAUUUAGGACUGUAAUACAUAAAGGAAAUUUUUUGUAUAUGUUGUCAAUAAUAUACUAAAACCAUUUUUUCCUA